AUGAAAAGAACUUUGAAAAGAGAGUCAAAAAGUGCUUGAAAUUGUUGAGGGGGAAGCCAUUGGCUGGUCAAGAUGCGCCCGGGCUCGAAGCUGGCUUAACGGCCUGUGUCACGCGCCGGGCGCCUGUCAGCCUGGGUUCGGCGUGCGGGAGAAACCCGCCUCUGUCGGUGGUCUAUGCCGCGCGCCGGACUCACGCUGGCUUAAGGCCGUCAAUGGGCCCGUCUUGAAACACGGACCAAGGAGUCUAACAUGUACGCGAGUUGGCGGGUGGAAAACCCGUAAGCGCAAGGAAACUGACUGGUGGGAGGGCCUGUGCCUGCACCAUCGACCGACCAUGAUCUUCUGUGAAAGGUUCGAGUACGAGCGUACCUGUUGGGACCCGAAAGAUGGUGAACUAUGCCUGAGCAGGGCGAAGCCAGAGGAAACUCUGGUGGAGGCUCGUAGAUGUGCUGACGUGCAAAUCGCUUUUCGGACUUGGGUAUAGGGGCGAAAGACUAAUCGAACCAUCUAGUAGCUGGUUCCCUCCGAAGUUUCCCCCAGGAUAGCUGGAGCUCAUCAGUUUUAUCA
rnacentral:rRNA from 1 species